AACAAACGCUGGCGGCGUGCCUAACACAUGCAAGUCGAACGAGAAAGUCGGUUUCGGCCGAUGAGUAAAGUGGCGCACGGGUGAGUAACGCGUGGAUAAUCUACCCUUUAGUCCGGAAUAACUUGCCGAAAGGUGAACUAAUACCGGAUGACAUCCCGGGUUCUCCGGAAACCGGGAUCAAAGAAGGCCUCUGCUUGCAAGCUUUUGCUGAAGGAUGAGUCCCGCGUACCAUUAGCUAGUUGGUGGGGUAAUGGCCUACCAAGGUUAUGAUGGUUAGCUGGUCUGAGAGGAUGAUCAGCCACACUGGAACUGAAACACGGUCCAGACUCCUACGGGAGGCAGCAGUGAGGAAUAUUGCGCAAUGGGGGCAACCCUGACGCAGCAACGCCGCGUGAGUGAGGAAGGUUUUCGGAUUGUAAAGCUCUGUCGAGCGGAAAGAAAUGCACGAUGGACUAAUAUCCAUCAUGCUUGCGGUACCGCUAGAGAGCACCGGCGUAA
rnacentral:rRNA from 1 species